CCCUUGCCUAUUACCUUGACUAUGCGCACCUUUGUUGUUUCCUCGGCAGGUUUCCUGUCAAGGGGGACCCCAAACCACCUCUGCAGUAGCAUCAAACUGAAUCAAACCACAAAUCAUUUACAACUUUCAACAAUGGAUCUCUUGGUUCUGGCAUCGAUGAAGAACGCAGCGAAAUGCGAUAAGUAGUGUGAAUUGCAGAAUUCAGUGAAUCAUCGAAUCUUUGAACGCACAUUGCGCCCCCCGGCAUUCCGUGGGGCAUGCCUGUUCGAGCGUCAUUUACCCCCUCAAGCACUGCUUGGUGUUGGGCGUCUGUCCACUUCCCACGGACUCGCCUAGAAGACAUUGGCAGUGGUUGCGCCAGCUUCGCACGCAUCACAAUGCGCUUUGCGAGGUUUUGGCGCGUCCGCGUCCACAAGCCACCCACAGUUUGACCUCGGAUCAGGUAGGGAUACCCGCUGAACUUAAGCAUAUCAAUAAGCGGAGG
rnacentral:rRNA from 1 species